rnacentral:rRNA from 1 species
GUGGGGAAUAUUGGUCAAUGGGCGCAAGCCUGAACCAGCCAUGCCGCGUGCAGGAAGACGGUCCUAUGGAUUGUAAACUGCUUUUAUUUGGGAAUAAACUCCGGUACGUGUACCGGCCUGAAGGUACCAAAUGAAUAAGCACCGGCUAACUCCGUGCCAGCAGCCGCGGUAAUACGGAGGGUGCAAGCGUUAUCCGGAAUCAUUGGGUUUAAAGGGUCCGCAGGCGGUCUUAUAAGUCAGUGGUGAAAGCCUACAGCUCAACUGUAGAACUGCCAUUGAUACUGUAGGACUUGAAUUCGAUCGAAGUGGGCGGAAUGUGACAUGUAGCGGUGAAAUGCUUAGAUAUGUCACAGAACACCGAUAGCGAAGGCAGCUCACUAGGUCUGGAUUGACGCUCAGGGACGAAAGCGUGGGGAGCAAACAGGAUUAGAAACCCUAGUAGUCC